GGAUAACAUUUGGAAACAAGUGCUAAUACCGUAUAAUACCAACAACCGCAUGGUUGUUGGUUGUAAGAUGGUUCUGCUAUCACUAAGAGAUGGACCCGCGGUGCAUUAGCUAGUUGGUAAGGUAACGGCUUACCAAGGCAAUGAUGCAUAGCCGAGUUGAGAGACUGAUCGGCCACAAUGGGACUGAGACACGGCCCAUACUCCUACGGGAGGCAGCAGUAGGGAAUCUUCCACAAUGGGCGCAAGCCUGAUGGAGCAACGCCGCGUGUGUGAUGAAGGGUUUCGGCUCGUAAAACACUGUUAUAAGAGAAGAACGGCACUGAGAGUAACUGUUCAGUGUGUGACGGUAUCUUACCAGAAAGGAACGGCUAAAUACGUGCCAGCAGCCGCGGUAAUACGUAUGUUCCAAGCGUUAUCCGGAUUUAUUGGGCGUAAAGCGAGCGCACACGGUUAUUUAAGUCUGAAGUGAAAGCCCUCAGCUCAACUGAGGAAUGGCUUUGGAAACUGGAUGACUUGA
rnacentral:rRNA from 1 species